AGAUGAGGAAGCAAGAUUAGAAAAUUUAGUUUUAUCAUUUAUGAAUUGGUUUGAUCGUAGACUUGAUAGGUUAACUAAAAUAUUGGAAAGUUUUAAAAAUAUUGAUGGAUAUAUUCCUGUUAGCAAAGUACGCGACGCAUUUACAAUGUUUAAAUUAAAUAAAGAAAUACAAGACAGAAUUCUAAAAAGAUUGACAGAUCAAAAUGGUUGGGUUAAAUAUGAUGAUCUUAUAAGACAUUUGAAAUGAAAUUUAAUACAUUGUUUAUGUCUGAAAAUUUAUAAAUGACCGCUAUUUGAGUGUUUACUGUAUAAUUUAUUAUUGUUUAAUAAAUUUCAAUGUGACAAUGUAACUUUCGACAGAUUUUUUUAUUUUAUAGUACAUAACAUAAACAUUAAUUUUAAGUAUGUUUAAAGAACGUAGUAUUUCGGAACAUUUCCAAAAGUUAAUUUGAAAAAGUUGACUUUCGUAAAAAAGUUUCUAUUUUUAAUCCACUAGUGUGGACAGGUAAAGGAUCAGAAUUUUAAAAAAAUUAUAUCAAAUUAAAGAAAAA